GAUGAACGCUGGCGGCGUGCCUAAUACAUGCAAGUCGAGCGAACAGAUGAGGAGCUUGCUCCUCUGACGUUAGCGGCGGACGGGUGAGUAACACGUGGAUAACCUACCUAUAAGACUGGGAUAACUUCGGGAAACAGGAGAUAAUAACGGAUAAUAUAUUGAACCGGUUGGAUCAAUAGAUAAAGAGGGUUUUGCUGACACUAAUAGACGAAUCCGCGCCGCAUUAGCUAGUUGGUAAGGUAACGGCUGACCAAGGCAACGAUGCGUAGCUGACCUGAGAGGAUGAUCGGCCACACUGGAACUGAGACACGGUCCAGACUCCUACGGGAGGCAGCAGUAGGGAAUCUUCCGCAAUGGGCGCAAGCCUGACGGAGCAACGCCGCGUGAGUGAUGAAGGUCUUCGGAUCGUAAAACUCUGUUAUUGGGGAAGAACAAAUGUGUAAUUAUCUACGCCCGUCUUGACGGUACCUAAUCAGAAAGCCACGGCUAACUUCGUG
rnacentral:rRNA from 1 species